rnacentral:rRNA from 1 species
AGAGUUUGAUCCUAGCUCAGGAUGAACGCUGGCAAUGUGGAUAAGGCAUGCAAGUCAAGGGGGCCGCAAGGCAACCGGCAGACGAGGUAGUAACACGUAGGUACACCCCCCGAAGUCGGGCAUAGCCAGCCGAAAGGUUGGGUAAUUCCCGAUAGUCCCGCAAGGGUAAAGGUUUUUCGCUUCGGGAGUGGCCUGCGUAAUAUCAGCUAGUUGGUAAGGUAAUGGCUUACCAAGGCUACGACGUUUAGGGGGGCUGAGAGGCUCUACCCCACCGAUGCACUGCGAUACGGGCCAUACCUCUACGGAGGGCUGCAGCCGAGAAUAUUCCGCAAUGGACGAAAGUCUGACGGAGCGGCAUCGCGUGAUGGAUGAAGUGCUUCGGUACGUAAACAUCUUUUAUCGGGGACGAAAUUAUUGACGGUACCCGGUGAAUAAGGGGCUCCUAACUCUGUGCCAGCAGGAGCGGUAAUACAGAGGCCCCAAGCGUUAUCCGGAAUUAUUGGGCGUAAAGGGUGUCCAGGUGGCCCUGUUAGUCGUUCGUUAAAUCCGUGGGCUUAACCUACGGGCUGCGAGCGAAACGGCAGGGCUCGAGGGCGCGAGAGGUGCAUGGAACUCAUGGUGGAGGGGUGAAAUCCGUUGAUAUCAUGGGGAACACCAAAGGCGAAGGCAGUGCACUGCGCGUUCCUGACACUCACACACGAAAGCCAGGGGAUCGAACGGGAUUAGAUACCCCGGUAGUCCUGGCCCUCAACGUUGCUCGCUCGUUUCGCGGAGUAUCGACCCUCUGCGGGACUAAGCUAACGCGGUAAGCGAGCCGCCUGGGUAGUACGAGCGCAAGCUUAAAACUCAAAGGAAUAGACGGGGAUUCGCACAAGCGGUGGAUUAUGUGGCUCAAUUCGUCGGCAAACGAAGAACCUUACCAAGAUUAGAAAUCCAGCUGCAUUCUUGUGGAAACACGAGGAGCCUUCGAGGGUGCUGGACAGGUGGUGCACGGUCGUCGUCAGUUCGUGGUUUGAACUGUUCCCUUCAGUGGGGUAACGAACGCAACCUUCGUUGUCUGUUACCUAUAUGGUCAGGCGAGACUGCUCCCUUGCGGGAGAGGAAGGUGGAGAUGACGCCAGAUCAGCGUGCCCUUUGAUAUCUUGGGCUGCACACAUAAUACAAUGGUUGGGAACAACAGGAUGCAAGACCGUAAGGUGGAGCAAAUCCCUAAAACCAACCUCAGUACGGAUUGAGGUCUGAAACCGACCUCAUGAAGCUGGAAUCGCUAGUAAUCCCGGGUCAGCUAAACCGGGGUGAAUACGUUCUCGAAUCUUGUACUCACCGCCCGUCAACUCAAGGGAGCUGGUGGUGCCCGAAACUCGCGCUCGUCGCGGGCUACGGUAAAAUCAGUGACAGGGAGUAAGUCGUAACAAGGCA